AAACACCCUUCUUCAGGCAGAGGGAGAGUUUGCAGCUGUUUUGUUCACUGCUGGGUGGGAUAGAAGCCAUUUUAAGUGGCAGGUUAGUUGAAAGCAGUGGAUAGAGUUAUAGGGUUGUGAAGAAUCAGAAUGAGAUGUCAAGCUAUCCCCAAACAAUAACUUAAAACUGAAAUGAGAGGAGCACGCCAUAUCCAGAAAAGAAGGGGAGAAAACAGAACAGAGAAGUGAGCCACUCAUUUCAAACUGUAAAAUGAACAGCUAGUAAGGUAACAGGUCACUGGGUCACUGUCUAGAAGACAAAGCAUUUAGGUAGGGCACUUAAGUGGGACAACUAGGGCACAUUAAGAGGGUUUAUGUCUAAAGAACAAGAUCAUCUAAUUGGUCUAUGGAGAUAACUUAACAGUUCAGUUAAAUAUGGUUAGUUUCAGACAACCAUCCCAAAUAUAUCUUACUUUAAAACCUCUUUGAUUUUUAGAUCUUAGUCUUAUGAUGAGGUCUAAAAUACAACAUUGCAGACUGUGAGAUCACAAAGAGGACUGAAUUUUAUUAGUAGAUGUUAAGAGUUAUGAACC